UUUUUUUAUUUAUUUUUAAUUUUUUUUUCACUUAUGCUAAUAUAAUUGGUUCUGUGCGCACAUGUUAGAAAGAGAGAAUUCUCUAGAUCAUGCUAAAUGUUAUUCAUGCCUGUAUAUAUCUUGGUUUUGUUUGCAUGACAUGGAAAGAAGAAACAAGAAAAGAAAUAUAAGAAAAAGCAGCCUCAACACACUUUAAGCUCUCAGGAAUAAAUGUUAAAAGAAAUAGAAAGAAAGAAAAGAAAAGCUUUUAGGUCUAGAAUAGAAUGGCUUUGCUUCAUACUAAUUCGAGGGUUAUGUGAAUGGCUUUGCUCCAUACUAAUGCGAGGGUUAUGUGAAAAUAUAUAUAUAUUUUUUUCACUUAGCUCACCAGAAAACAUCUUUUUUUCAUCAAGAA
rnacentral:misc_RNA from 1 species